AAGUCGUAACAAGGUUUCCGUAGGUGAACCUGCGGAAGGAUCAUUCGCACGUAUCCAGACAUGUCACAGGGCCACCGCGUCCACUAGAAAAUGCCCCGCCUAGUGGUAACGCGCUAGGUAAAAAAAACCGAACAACUGUUAACAAUGGAUAUCUUGGUUCUC
rnacentral:misc_RNA from 1 species